UUUGCCCUACGGGAGGCAGCAGUGGGGAAUAUUGGGCAAUGGGCGCAAGCCUGACCCAGCGACGCCGCGUGAGGGAAGACGGUCUUCGGAUUGUAAACCUCUUUCAGCAGGGAAGACAAAAGGACGGUACCUGCAGAAGAAGCCACGGCUAACUACGUGCCAGCAGCCGCGGUAAUACGUAGGCGGCAAGCGUUAUCCGGAAUUACUGGGUGUAAAGGGUGUGUAGGCGGGGCUGCGAGUCAGAUGUGAAAAUUAUGGGCUCAACCCCUAACCUGCGUCUGCAACUG
rnacentral:rRNA from 1 species